rnacentral:rRNA from 1 species
AAUAGAUACCCGGGUAGUCCUAGCCGUAAACGAUACUCGCUAGGUGUCGGCCACGGUGCGACCGUUGUCGGUGCCGUAGGGAAGCCGUGAAGCGAGCCACCUGGGAAGUACGGCCGCAAGGCUGAAACUUAAAGGAAUUGGCGGGGGAGCACCACAACGGGUGGAGCUUGCGGUUUAAUUGGAUUCAACGCCGGAAAUCUUACCGGGACCGACAGCAAUAUGAAGGCCAGGCUGAAGACUUUGCCGGAUUAGCUGAGAGGUGGUGCAUGGCCGUCGUCAGUUCGUACUGUGAAGCAUCCUGUUAAGUCAGGCAACGAGCGAGACCCACGCCCACAGUUGCCAGCGUACUCUCCGGAGUGACGGGUACACUGUGGGGACCGCCGCUGCUAAAGCGGAGGAGGAAUGGGCAACGGUAGGUCAGUAUGCCCCGAAUAUCCCGGGCUACACGCGAGCUACAAUGGUUGGUACAAUGGGUAUCUACCCCGAAAGGGGAUGGAAAUCUCCUAAAGCCAAUCUUAGUUCGGAUUGAGGGCUGCAACUCGCCCUCA